rnacentral:lncRNA from 1 species
AAAACUCUUCCACCAAGGAAGAGUUGCAUCAGAACUCUAGUUAUUUCUUCAUCUAUUAACUCUAUAAAUUGCAGGAUUUCUCACAUUAAAAGUGUUGCACAAAAACACAGAAGUUAAACGUGAAUUGAGAGCAAAAUAACAAGGCUUUUUGCAAGCAGUUCAUGUGUGAUUCAAGUGUGCAAACCUGAAGCACAUGAACCAGAUUGAAGAACUAGCCCUAUAAAGAGUUUUAUGUGUAUUUCUUUAUUUCUAGUUCAAUUGUAGUAGGUGUUUUUAUAUGUACCUUCCAUCUUUCGCAG